GAUGAAGAACGUAGCGAAAUGCGAUAAGUAAUGUGAAUUGCAGAAUUCAGUGAAUCAUCGAAUCUUUGAACGCACAUUGCGCCCGCCAGUAUUCUGGCGGGCAUGCCUGUUCGAGCGUCAUUUCAACCAUCAAGCCCCCGGGCUUGUGUUGGGGACCUGCGGCUGCCGCAGGCCCUGAAAAGCAGUGGCGGGCUCGCUGUCACACCGAGCGUAGUAGCAUACAUCUCGCUCUGGGCGUGCUGCGGGUUCCGGCCGUUAAACUACCCUUUUAACCCAAGGUUGACCUCGGAUCAGGUAGGAAGACCCGCUGAACUUAAGCAUAUCAAUAAGCGGAGGA
rnacentral:misc_RNA from 1 species